GUUUAGAAUUUAGAAUUUAGGGUUUAGGGUUUAGGGUUUAGAGUUUAGGGUUUAGAGUUUAGAGUUUAGGGUUUAAGGUUUAGGGUUUAGGGUUUAGGGUUUAGAAUUUAGGGUUUAGGGUUUAGAGUUUAGGGUUUAGGGAUUAGGGUUUAGGGUUUAGAAUUUAGGGUUUAGGGUUUAGAAUUUAGGGUUUAGGGUUUAGAGUUGAGAA
rnacentral:lncRNA from 1 species